rnacentral:rRNA from 1 species
UACGUAGGCAGCGAGCGUUGUUCGGAGUUACUGGGCGUAAAGGGCGCGUAGGCGGCCACCGCAAGUCGACUGUGAAAUCUCCGGGCUUAACCCGGAAAGGUCAGCCGAUACUGCGGGGCUAGAGUGCAGAAGGGGCAACUGGAAUUCUCGGUGUAGCGGUGAAAUGCGUAGAUAUCGAGAGGAACACCUGCGGCGAAGGCGGGUUGCUGGGCUGACACUGACGCUGAUGCGCGAAAGCUAGGGGAGCGAACGGG